GUAGACGGCCAUCUGGAAGCCUUCCCGCAGGUCGCCAAAACCCGAGGAAACGGGCUUUUAACCCUCGUGUCGCGGGUUCGAAUCCUGCCCGGCCCA
rnacentral:tRNA from 1 species